rnacentral:rRNA from 1 species
GACGAACGCUGGCGGCGUGCUUAACACAUGCAAGUCGAACGGAAAGGCCUGCUUUCCCUUGUGGAUUGCGGGUACUCGAGUGGCGAACGGGUGAGUAACACGUGAGUGAUCUGCCCCCAACUUGGGUAUAAGCCUGGGAAACUGGGUCUAAUUCCCGAUAGGACUGCAGGGUGGUGCCUGUGGUGGAAAACGAUUUUCUAGUGGUUGGGGAUGGGCUCGCGGCCUAUCAGCUUGUUGGUGGGGUAAUGGCCUACCAAGGCGGCGACGGGUAGCCGGCCUGGGAGGGUGGACGGCCAAGUUGGGACUGGGAUACGGCCCAGACUCCUACGGGAGGAGGCAGGGGGGAAUAUUGCACAAGGGGCGGAAGCCUGAUGCAGCGACGCCGGGGGGGGGAUGACGGCUUUCGGGGUGUAAACUCCUUUCGACCGCGAGGAAGCCACCUGGUGGGGAGGGGGGGGAGGGUAGUGGUAGAAGAAGCACCGGCUAACUACGU